rnacentral:rRNA from 1 species
AACGAACGCUGGCGGCAUGCCUAACACAUGCAAGUCGAACGAUCCCUUCGGGGAUAGUGGCGCACGGGUGCGUAACGCGUGGGAACCUGCCCUUAGGUUCGGCAUAACUCAGAGACAUUUGAGCUAAUACCGGAUAAUGUCUUCUGACCAAAGAUUUAUCGCCUUUGGAUGGGCCCGCGUUGGAUUAGCUUGUUGGUGGGGUAAAGGCCUACCAAGGCGACGAUCCAUAGCUGGUCUGAGAGGAUGAUCAGCCACACUGGGACUGAGACACGGCCCAGACUCCUACGGGAGGCAGCAGUGGGUAAUAUUGGACAAUGGGCGAAAGCAUGAUCCAGCAAUGCCGCGUGAGUGAUGAAGGCCUUAGGGUUGUAAAGCUCUUUUACCCGGGAUGAUAAUGACAGUACCGGGAGAAUAAGCCCCGGCUAACUCCGUG